UGAUGUCAGUUUUUGUAGUGCUCCAAUC
rnacentral:sRNA from 1 species